rnacentral:lncRNA from 1 species
CAGUGGAAGCAUCCCAGCAGCCGAAGAUCCCAGGCGAUUCAACUUCAUCUACCCCGUGUUUCAUCCAUUCCCAAAUUUCUACAACGUUUCCAGCUGAAGAAUCUCAAGCGAUUCAACUUCAUCCCGCAUCUCAAGCAACCGGAUCAUCCCCAAACCUCCACGCGUCUCACCAGCCGUGCCUUCAACAUGCUAUAAAAAGGGGAGCCAUCCGGUGAAGAAGGAGGGGACGGGAGGGAGAAAGCAGCCGGGAGAGCCGUGUGCGAAGGAGGAGACCAGCAGCCGACGGAAGAAGGGGAGAAGGAGCCGACGGAAGAAGAGGAGAAGGAGCCGACGGAACCAGGAAGUCUUCAUUUGCAUCUUCCGAUCAAUCCUCUCAGCCGGGCAAGAGAAGAGGAGAGCCCAAGGGAGAAGAAGAAAGGAAACAGAGUACUCUGUUUCCUAAUCGAAGAAAGAAAAA